UAGGGAAUCUUCGGCAAUGGACGAAAGUCUGACCGAGCAACGCCGCGUGAGUGAAGAAGGUUUUCGGAUCGUAAAACUCUGUUGUUAGAGAAGAACAAGGACGUUAGUAACUGAACGUCCCCUGACGGUAUCUAACCAGAAAGCCACGGCUAACUACGUGCCAGCAGCCGCGGUAAUACGUAGGUGGCAAGCGUUGUCCGGACUUAUUGGGCGUAAAGCGAGCGCAGGCGGUUUCUUAAGUCUGAUGUGAAAGCCCCCGGCUCAACCGGGGAGGGUCAUUGGAAACUGGGAGACUUGAGUGCAGAAGAGGAGAGUGGAAUUCCAGGUGUAGCGGUGAAAUGCGUAGAUAUAUGGAGGAACACCAGUGGCGAAGGCGGCUCUCUGGUCUGUAACUGACGCUGAGGCUCGAAAGCGUGGGGAGCAAACAGG
rnacentral:rRNA from 1 species